rnacentral:ncRNA from 1 species
UUCGGCCUCGCUGCAUUUUCUAUGCAGCCCUCUGCACGCCGUCGCCGAUUCAUUCCUAUACGAACUCGUUCGCGAUCCUGUCGCCUUCUCUGCGGCGCGGC